UUCUCAUGCUGAAACCCUUCUGUUUCUCUGGAAGGAAAAUAAUAAUAAUAAUAAUAAUGGGUCAGACAGAGGAACAGAGAUUGUUGAAAAAGGUGAUGAGAUCGGCAGGUGUCUGCGACGCCAUCAAUCGGCGUUCCCAGAGAAAUUGGGCAAGACAGAGACUUUUUCUUACCCUCUGAUUACUAUUUAGGGCUUUUGUCUCAUUUUUUAGGGCUUAUUAUUAUUUUUUGUUUUCACUCUCUGUGGUGUAUCUUAACUUCUACUGUCUUUGGUGUGCAGGUGUUUGAAAGCACAAAUCAGAGGAUUCCUAAAUGUUUAAUGGUAAAGGUUGUGGUUACCGGGUAAUUGUUUUGGGAGUGACUGAACUGAAGAAGCAUCAUUGAGAUUGCUGGUGAUCAUGGUUACCAGUUUCUGACUUCAAAUUUGGAUGGGGAAACUAAUGUAACGAUCAGAAAGGCAUCUGAAUGGAAUAGGGAUUGUUUAACUCCAGAGAAAGUGUCUGCAUUUUGGUUGGCAAGGAGAGCACGUUACAUUCAAGCAUGCCUAAUGCAUGCUUACUUUGCAAAGUAAUUACAGCUGGUCUUUGGCUUCCCUCUAUACACAAUAAAAGACUUUUCAUUGAUGUGUAAAUAAGAAAAUGUCUGGGGUGUAUGUAUAUUAUUUGUAAAGCAAGGUUGAGUCCCUCUGUACUCUUUGUUAAUAAAAAAAUAUGAAAUUUUUGGCGUUUGGGUGAAGAGAAUAAUGCGGGAAUUGCCCGAGGUUCUCUUCCUUCUUGUUGGAGUGCUGUGCGUGUCUCUCUUUCUGUCUCUCAUUUGCUUCCUUUCCCUAUGUCCUUAAAAAAAUUAAAUGUAAACAAAAAAAAAAAAAAAAAAAAAAAAACAAACAAACAAAAAAAAAAAAGAAAAAGAAAGGAGCUAUACUUUUAUUAUAAAAUAAUAUAUACACCAAAAAAAAAAAAAAAAAAACAUAAAAUGAAACGCAUUGAAGAAACCAACCAUUAAACAAAUAAGAAAUUAGUAAAAGAUUAUAUGUGCAAAAAGAACACUUAAGUAAAUUAGUAAUGAUUUAAAAAAAGAAGUAAAUUAGUAAAACAGCCUAAAAUAGGCCUAAAAAAACAAAAUAAAAAAAAUAAAAUAAGA